GUGGGGGGGAAGGGAUGGGGAGGGGGAGGAGGAGGGAGAGGGAGAGGGAGAGAAAGAGGAGGACCCGCUGAGGGGAGGGGGCGAGGGAGAGCGGUUGCCGGGGGAGAGGGGGAGGGGAGAGGACAGAGCCUGUAAUGGGGUCCUGGCCCGGGAGAGGAGGAGCUACGCGCAGAGGGAAGGGUUCAGGGGUGCCCCCUCCCUUCGUUCGGGGGGCCCCACAGGCACCGUUUACACCGGGGCGGGGGAGGGGGGAAACAGCACUGGGGGGAGGGGUCUCGUGGUGGCCGCGAAGAAACAAUGGGGAGAAGGCCGAGGUACCGGCCAAUAUCCCCGAAGGAGACUGGUGAGAAAGAGGAGAUG
rnacentral:lncRNA from 1 species